GGCAGAGGACAUAACCAAUCCAACAGUCUCUACGACCUGAUCGUUCCUCCUCAACAUGGCAGAUGCAACAGUGAAGGUGUAUGAAGCCCUGGAAGAACAGAUAGACGUGUUGAAAGGAAGAUAUGAACUUUUACAGGUGAACUAGGGACAAGGAGAAACAGGAAGCAAAGAAAGCUUUUCCGGCGGCAAGAACGCCCCGUGCAAAGGCAGAGAGACUUCCUGAUUUGUGGACUUCCUAACUCCCCUCCUGCUCCCUCUCCUUUCCAUCUGCCAAGGUCCACAUGGCCAAAAGAUGUGCCGGCCUCAGAAGACAGGUCAUUUCUGUGUCAAAAGAUCUAUGAUGUAGAACUUUCUUUCUGAACAGAAUCUAAAUAAAAUAUGAAGAGGAGAGAAAGUAGACCUGGAAAAGAGUCAGAUGUCCUCCUGGAGCACAUGAUGGGGCCCUGCCCCCAAAUGUAUCUUUCUCCAAACUAAUUAGUGGGUGAGUGAGUGCCAGCACUGAGGGUCCUGAUUCAGCCACCCCGCAGGACCUCUCCACUCCAUGUCACAAUGCAAGAGGAGGUAGAGGGUGAGCAUGGAGUCACGGCAUCUGUAUCCAUCUGCUUUCCCAUCGAACACCUACCAGACAGCAUCCAACGUGGAGCUAAAGGUUACACGGGCAGCAGAAUAGCAAAUGCAGCGCCUUAGAGACAAGGGAAGGAGCAGGUGACAGCAGGUGCAGGGAAGCCACAGCUACUGCAGAGCCACAUUGUGAGCAUGUAAUGACAGUGUAGGCGUCUGCUCUAUCUCUGCUAUGGAACAUUGUGAUAAAUUAUUAAUAAAAGGGUUUGUGU